rnacentral:rRNA from 1 species
GACGAACGCUGGCGGCGUGCUUAAUACAUGCAAGUCGAGCGAGGCCCAUCCAGUGGCAACACUGGGGAAGGCCGAGCGGCGAACGGGUGAGUAACACGUGAGCAACCUGCCCCGAAGUCUGGAAUAACAUCGGGAAACCGGUGCUAAUACCGGAUUGCCCCACCUGACCGCAUGAUCGGGUGAGGAAAGAUUUAUCGCUUCGGGAGGGGCUCGCGGCCUAUCAGCUAGUUGGCGGGGUAACGGCCCACCAAGGCGUCGACGGGUAGCGUGGUCUGAGAGGACGACCAGCCACACGUGGGACUGAGACACCGGCCAGACUCCGUACGGGAGGCAGCAGGUAAGGGAAUUCUUGCG